GAUGAAGAACGCAGCGAAAUGCGAUAAGUGAUGUGAAUUGCAGAAUUCAGUGAAUCAUCGAAUCUUUGAACGCACAUUGCGCCCGCCAGUAUUCUGGCGGGCAUGCCUGUUCGAGCGUCAUUUCAACCAUCAAGCCCCAGGCUUGUGUUGGAGCCCUGCGGCUGCCGCAGCCUCCCAAAACCAGUGGCGGGCUCGCUAUCACACCGAGUGCAGUAGUUUACUCUUCGCUCAGGGCGUGUGGCGGGUGCUAGCCGUGAAACCCCCAACUUCUCAAGGUUGACCUCGGAUCAGGUAGGAAUACCCGCUGAACUUAAGCAUAUCAAUAAGCGGAGGA
rnacentral:misc_RNA from 1 species